rnacentral:rRNA from 1 species
UAAACGACUCUCGGCAACGGAUAUCUUGGCUCACGCAUCGAUGAAGAACGUAGCAAAAUGCGAUACUUGGUGUGAAUUGCAGAAUCCCGUGAACCAUCGAGUUUUUGAACGCAAGUUGCGCCCGAAGCCUUCUGGCCGAGGGCACGUCUGCCUGGGCGUCACG